rnacentral:rRNA from 1 species
GGGGUAACGGCCCACCAAGACGACGAUGGAUAGGGGUUCUGAGAGGAAGGUCCCCCACAUUGGAACUGAGACACGGUCCAAACUCCUACGGGAGGCAGCAGUGAGGAAUAUUGGUCAAUGGCCGGAAGGCUGAACCAGCCAAGUCGCGUGAGGGAAUAAGGCCCUACGGGUCGUAAACCUCUUUUGCCAGGGAGCAAUGCCAUCCACGUGUGGACGGAAGGAGAGUACCUGGAGAAAAAGCAUCGGCUAACUCCGUGCCAGCAGCCGCGGUAAUACGGAGGAUGCGAGCGUUAUCCGGAUUUAUUGGGUUUAAAGGGUGCGUAGGCGGCCUGCCAAGUCAGCGGUAAAAUUGCGGGGCUCAACCCCGUACAGCCGUUGAAACUGCCGGGCUCGAGUGGGCGAGAAGUAUGCGGAAUGCGUGGUGUAGCGGUGAAAUGCAUAGAUAUCACGCAGAACCCCGAUUGCGAAGGCAGCAUACCGGCGCCCUACUGACGCUGAGGCACGAAAGUGCGGGGAUCAAACAGGAUUAGAUACCCUGGUAGUCCGCACAGUAAACGAUGAAUGCUAGCUGUCCGGGGGGAUUGACCCCUGGGU